rnacentral:rRNA from 1 species
AAACCAGCACCUCAAGUGGUCAGGAUGAUUAUUGGGCCUAAAGCAUCCGUAGCCGGCUCUGUAAGUUUUCGGUUAAAUCUGUACGCUCAACGUACAGGCUGCCGGGAAUACUGCAGAGCUAGGGAGUGGGAGAGGUAGACGGUACUCGGGAGGAAGUGGUAAAAUGCUUUGAUCUCUCGAUGACCACCUGUGGCGAAGGCGGUCUACCAGAACACGACCGACGGUGAGGGAUGAAAGCUGGGGGAGCAAACCGGAUUAGAUACCCGAGUAGUCC